UACGUAGGGUGCAAGCGUUGUCCGGAAUUAUUGGGCGUAAAGAGCUCGUAGGCGGUUUGUCGCGUCUGCCGUGAAAGUCCGGGGCUCAACUCCGGAUCUGCGGUGGGUACGGGCAGACUAGAGUGAUGUAGGGGAGACUGGAAUUCCUGGUGUAGCGGUGGAAUGCGCAGAUAUCAGGAGGAACACCGGUGGCGAAGGCGGGUCUCUGGGCUGUAACUGACGCUGAGGAGCGAAAGCGUGGGUAGCGAACAGG
rnacentral:rRNA from 1 species